GUUAAAGUGGCAGAGACCGGUAAUUGCGUAAAACUUAAACCUUUAUCCCCAGAGGUUCAAGUCCUCUCUUUAACA
rnacentral:tRNA from 2 species